rnacentral:rRNA from 1 species
CGACCGGCGCACGGGUGAGUAACGCGUAUCCAACCUGCCCACCACUUGGGGAUAACCUUGCGAAAGUAAGACUAAUACCCAAUGAUAUCUCUAGACGACAUCUGAAAGAGAUUAAAGAUUUAUCGGUGAUGGAUGGGGAUGCGUCUGAUUAGCUUGUUGGCGGGGUAACGGCCCACCAAGGCAACGAUCAGUAGGGGUUCUGAGAGGAAGGUCCCCCACAUUGGAACUGAGACACGGUCCAA